UGAACGCUGGCGGCGUGCCUACUACAUGCACAUCGAGCGAACGGACGCGAAGCUUGCUUCUCUGAUGUUAGCGGCGGACGGGUGAGUAACACGUGGAUAACCUACCUAUAAGACUGGGAUAACUUCGGGAAACCGGAGCUAAUACCGGAUAAUAUUUUGAACCGCAUGGUUCAAAAGUGAAAGACGGUCUUGCUGUCACUUAUAGAUGGAUCCGCGCUGCAUUAGCUAGUUGGUAAGGUAACGGCUUACCAAGGCAACGAUGCAUAGCCGACCUGAGAGGGUGAUCGGCCACACUGGAACUGAGACACGGUCCAGACUCCUACGGGAGGCAGCAGUAGGGAAUCUUCCGCAAUGGGCGAAAGCCUGACGGAGCAACGCCGCGUGAGUGAUGAAGGUCUUCGGAUCGUAAAACUCUGUUAUUAGGGAAGAACAUAUGUGUAAGUAACUGUGCACAUCUUGACGGUACCUAAUCAGAAAGCCACGGCUAACUACGUG
rnacentral:rRNA from 1 species